GUGCGGGAGAACGGCUCCAUGCCGGGGAGAGAAACCGAGCGCGGCCCGAAUCCCCCCGCCGUCCCCUCCGCUCCCCUCCCCUCCGCACCCCUCCCCUCCGCUCGGCCGUGGGAUGCGGGGAUUUGGGACGGCUGAAGGACUCGGGGCCCCCACCGCCGCAGCGCUGCUGCCCGCAUCCGGGCCGGGCCCCCCCGAGCCUCCAGCGCUGCUCCCGGUGCCCCCCGGGGCUGAGGAGCCGGGCAGCGGUACUGCAGCUCGUCUGGCAGCUUUGCAGCUGAGUUGGGAAGUAGAAGAUGUGGCUGUGAAAGAAGAAGCACAGCCCUUCGUGCAGCAGCAAAGCUCCUUCCUGAUUGCUGUGGCGUUACUUCACUCUCCUCAACCCCUCCUGUGUUCUCUGACUCCCACAGUCCCUGACAGGACCCCCAUCACCAUCCCAGGACCCCCAUAGCCCACUGAUGAGGAACCCCGCAGCAAUCCACAUCUCAGGAUGGGGCUCCAGCUUUGCCCCAAUGCCUGCAUUAAAGAGAGGAGAAUGAAUGAGCGUAACGGGGCACCUUUCCUCCUGACAUUACCAACUGCCUGCGUGUUGGCUGUGCCACGUGAGCGGCAUUUUGUCCUCGAGCUGUGAGUGCAGAAAUUCCCAUGAUUAUUUCCAACUCAUUUCCAGGCUGAUGGCUGCUGGUCCUGAAGAACCACAGAAUCACUAAGGUUGGAAAGACUGCUAAGAUCAUCACACCCAACCCCAGCCUACCCCACCAUGCUCACUAACCAUGUCCAUCACUGUCACAUCUCCAUGUUUCUUGAGCAUCUCCAGGGACAGUGAUUCCCCCACCUCCCUGGGCAGCCUGUGCCAGUGCCUUGGAUGGAAGGCCCUUGGACGGUGACCAAGAUGCUGGCUGUCGUGGUGGUCCUCUUUGCCC
rnacentral:lncRNA from 1 species